AUUGAACGCUGGCGGCAGGCCUAACACAUGCAAGUCGAGCGGAUGAAGGGAGCUUGCUCUUGGAUUCAGCGGCGGACGGGUGAGUAAUGCCUAGGAAUCUGCCUGGUAGUGGGGGAUAACGUCCGGAAACGGGCGCUAAUACCGCAUACGUCCUGAGGGAGAAAGUGGGGGAUCUUCGGACCUCACGCUAUUAGAUGAGCCUAUGUCGGAUUAGCUAGUUGGUGGGGUAAAGGCCUACCAAGGCGACGAUCCGUAACUGGUCUGAGAGGAUGAUCAGUCACACUGGAACUGAGACACGGUCCAGACUCCUACGGGAGGCAGCAGUGGGGAAUAUUGGACAAUGGGCGAAAGCCUGAUCCAGCCAUGCCGCGUGUGUGAAGAAGGUCUUCGGAUUGUAAAGCACUUUUAGUUGGGAGGAAGGGCAGUAAGUUAAUACCUUGCUGUUAUGACGUUACCAACAGAAUAAGCACCGGCUAACUUCGUG
rnacentral:rRNA from 1 species